UACAGAGGGUGCGAGCGUUACUCGGCCUUACUGGGCGUAAAGCGCACGUCGGUGGAGACGCAAGUCGGGUGUGAAAGCCCCGGGCUCAACCUGGGAAUUGCAUUCGAGACUGCAUUGCUGGAGUACGGAAGAGGAGGGCGGAAUUCCCGGUGUAGCGGUGAAAUGCGUAGAUAUCGGGAGGAACAUCAGUGGCGAAGGCGGCCCUCUGGUCCAGUACUGACACUCAAGUGCGAAAGCGUGGGGAGCAAACAGG
rnacentral:rRNA from 1 species